GUAACUACAUAUUAUGAAUCUAAUUUUAUUAACAAUACUAGAAUAAACAAAUAGUAAAUAUAAAUUAGCAUAAAGAACAAUCAAUGUAAUUUUUUUUUAACAAUUUUCAAAACAAACUCACGCGUAGCGUGGGUACUCAUCUAGUAAAAUUAAAGCAGAAAGAGACUCAUGCUGUCAAGAGUCGAGACAUAGUACGACACAAUGGUCACAAUGGUGUGGUGAAGGAGGACGAAAAAUUCAGAGCUAGCACAGAGAUUCAACUUUUCUCAGAGGGACAGCUGGAUAAGGUUCCAGAUUGUUCUGCUCGUUUUAUAAAAGGACUCGUUUUUGUAGUAUCAAAAACAUGUAAAAAAAAUAAAGCUUGAGAGACUUUCUUUCAUUCACAGAGAGCUAGAGUUGCAAAAUGAAGUUUAAAUUAACCAUAUGGCUUAACUGCUACACUGAUGGUGAGUACACCAUUGUCUCCACCAUUCUCAAAGAACUUGCUUUUAGGGUUCUUGCCAUUCUCCUGCUGUAUUUCAAUCUUGGUGUAUAAGAUUACAUCACUGCUCACCACCACGAGCCUGCUCGACGUGCUGCUGGUUGGGCAGGUAUGAUAUUCACUUCUUUCUCUGCCCUUGAUGCUGCUUUGAGGGCCAAACACAAGAAGCUCAGGUUAUUUGAUGAAAUCUCUAUAGUCUCCAUCUAUGUGGCUCUAUGGGCUAUGCUUUUCUCAAUGUUUCAGCAGAUAAGCAUCUUGUUCAUGUGCAUUUGCGGGGUCUCUGCUUUUAUGGGAUUAUUCAAUUAUAUCCACCGGCUCUCUGUUGGGGUCUUGAAUGAGCCGCCCAAGCCCAACGAAGCUAUGACAUCCUUGCUCAAUGCAAUGAAGAAUGAGCAAGAAAGUACACAAUCUCUUCUUGCUGCAGCAAUGAUUUUGGCUGUGACUGAGCCUGAGAAUCCAAGCAUCCUCACGUUGGUUAACGCAUUGAAAGAACGUUAUGCUACCGCUCCUUCCAUUUAACACUUGAAACACCCAAUGUUUGCUUCUGUUUAUGUAUUUUCUUCUAUCUAGUUGACUUUUUGGAUUUUUGUUUCUUAGGAUUAUUGUGUUUCAAUCCUUUGACUCUUUUCGGAUUUGUGGUUUU
rnacentral:sRNA from 1 species